rnacentral:rRNA from 1 species
CCCGUAACGAGCGCAACCCUUGUCCUUAGUUACCAGCACGUUAUGGUGGGCACUCUAAGGAGACUGCCGGUGCAAACCGGAGGAAGGUGGGGAUGACGUCAAGUCAUCAUGGCCCUUACGGCCUGGGCUACACACGUGCUACAAUGGUCGGUACAAAGGGUUGCCAAGCCGCGAGGUGGAGCUAAUCCCAUAAAACCGAUCGUAGUCCGGAUCGCAGUCUGCAACUCGACUGCGUGAAGUCGGAAUCGCUAGUAAUCGUGAAUCAGAAUGUCACGGUGAAUACGUUCCCGGGCCUU